rnacentral:rRNA from 1 species
UACCAGCACCCCGAGUGGUCGGGACGUUUAUUGGGCCUAAAGCAUCCGUAGCCGGUUCUACAAGUCUUCCGUUAAAUCCAGCUGCUUAACAGAUGGGCUGCGGAGGAUACUAUAAGACUAGGAGGCAGGAGAGGCAAGCGGUACUCAGUGGGUAGGGGUAAAAUCCGUUGAUCCAUUGAAGACCACCAGUGGCGAAGGCGGCUUGCCAGAAUGCGCUCGACGGUGAGGGAUGAAAGCUGGGGGAGCAAACAGG